CAACUUCAAAAGAAUCGGUGUUACAUCGUCAUAAGUUAAGUCUGUUUGCACAUGAUUAAUUCGUUUCAGCCUUGUAUACGUUUUUUUCGCGGUACGUAACGAAUUAAAUUAUAUUUUCUUCACACUUUUCGUCAAUAGCUAGUUGGAAUUCCUCAUUGAGCGAUGUCAUAGAUGUGUGGGCAUUAAGGUACUUUCUGAAAUCCGUUUUAAAAAGAUUCUCUUUAUAGUUUUAACUCCAUGUUGUCAACAAAUGUUUGCUUCAUGAAUCGAUUGAAAAUCAAAAUUGGGAUAUUUUUGACAAAUGAAUGAUCCGAAAGAGACAGUGGAAAUCGAAAUCGAUCUGUAAGUUCUGGAAAUCGAAGAUGACAGCCACCAACAUCUUACCUUAUGCGAAUAGCGCCUUCACUAUCUUCCAUAAUCUGACGCCAAAGCAGAAUAUGGGGACUGAUUAACAGACGUAAUCAAAAACAUCAAAGAUAUGGUAGCGCUCUUACGAUUUUGGCUAUUUCAUCUUUAAACUCCGAAUUUUAACGAAUCUUUAGGAAAACUCAUUGGAGAUCCUCUUCUCUUGGAAAUAAAAUGAGAGUAAAAGGCUGAAACUCAA